GACGAACGCUGGCGGCGUGCUUAACACAUGCAAGUCGAACGGAAAGACCCGGCUUUUGUGGGGUGCUCGAGUGGCGAACGGGUGAGUAACACGUGAGUAACCUGCCCUUGACUUUGGGAUAACUUCAGGAAACUGGGGCUAAUACCGGAUAGGAGCUCCUGCUGCAUGGUGGGGGUUGGAAAGUUUCGGCGGUUGGGGAUGGACUCGCGGCUUAUCAGCUUGUUGGUGGGGUAGUGGCUUACCAAGGCUUUGACGGGUAGCCGGCCUGAGAGGGUGACCGGCCACAUUGGGACUGAGAUACGGCCCAGACUCCUACGGGAGGCAGCAGUGGGGAAUAUUGCACAAUGGGCGGAAGCCUGAUGCAGCAACGCCGCGUGCGGGAUGACGGCCUUCGGGUUGUAAACCGCUUUCGCCUGUGACGAAGCGUGAGUGACGGUAAUGGGUAAAGAAGCACCGGCUAACUACGUG
rnacentral:rRNA from 1 species